UCCCUGUAGCUUAAACGGCAAAGAAUCUGCUUGCAAUGCAGGAGACCCAGGUUCUAUCCCUGGGUUGGGAA
rnacentral:tRNA from 1 species